ensembl:lncRNA
GAGAGGAAGCAUUUGAAGCCACAUUCUACAGAAAUAUUUUGGAUCUAGUUGGCAAAAUAAAUGCAAAGUUUAAACCCGAUGAGCUUAAAACAAUUAACUUUUGAAUUGUAGUGUAUAAUGAAAAGGGAUAUACUUUGCAGCCCCUUGCAGCAUAAAACUCUUGCAGUUAUUUUAUUCUUUGGUCUUAAUCCUUGAGUUCUUCACGUACAAGAGUACUUCUGCUUAUAUCCCUUUUAUAAAGGUACCAAUCAAAUAGUUAAAGCUUUACAUCCUCACUAAAGAUGAGGUGACCUUCACCCAGCUGAAGCAGAAAUGUUUAUUUUUAGUUUUGGAAUGGCCUGUAAUAGCAUCAAUUAAGCUAUAUUAAAUGAUGAGUAACAACAGCAGCACUAAGACACACUCGUUCAAAAAACAGUACCCCCCCGAACAUUGAACUGCAGUGCUAAAGCAGUAAAGGGCAGACUACAGGAAGCAAAACCAAUUCAUAGCAGUGAAAAUCAUUAAAAUACCACAAAGUUAAAAUUAUUCCCUUCUUUCCAGUUUACUUGGUUGAAGACAGGUACCGAAUUCGGGGGGGAAGAAAAUAGGAAAAUAACCAACCUACAAAGCCAUCUCCAGUCCUUACACAAUUUAAACAUUCUCAAGUAACAGAUAUAGAUAAACAAACAUGAACUGCAAGUGUAACAUUUGAAAUGGCAAAACUAAUCAGUGAACCCAAACAUUGAAAGCUGUAAUUGGAUUCGGCACCUUCCCUGCCGUUAUACAGUAGUUACAUCACUCUGAAUCAGUAAGUGCAUGAGUGCUGACACUAACUGCCUUUGUUACACCGCUCCACCUCUACCCAGGAGCAGAGGUCGGAGAAGCUCUUUAAUUCGACCUGCACACUGCGAAGUGGAAUCUUGCGUUUUCAAAACCAGAGUUCUGUAUGUAUUCAUUCUGUGCCGGUGGAUUCAAGCACCCACGCAGAACCCAACUGAAAUCAAUCAGGUUCAAUGCAGCUGCAAUAUUUGAUCUUCCCAGAACAAGUUUCAGACCUGGUAGUCAAGUUAUCACUUUAAGCAACUCAAUAUCGAUGAAUAUUUAAUAAGUUUCUAUGGAAAAGAUUUAUCAAGCCAACAUUCAAUUCGCACCAAGUUUGGUGGUGUGGGGGUUUAUUAAAUCCUCUACACAUCUGAUGCAAAGUAUUACAAACACAGAUGGAAAAAACCCCAGAUCACUCACUCUGCAGAGCUGUUGGUGAAGCUGACAAACAAGUGUUUUGGGCCAUGGGCGUUGUAUACAAAGAACUCUCCUUAAAGGGAUUCCAAAUUUUGCUUUUUCUUCUGCAAUCUGGGAUUUAAAGUAUUUGCUGAUCUUUGAGAGCAAGAAGAGUGCAGGCAGGCAAGCGGGCAGCAGUCAUCAUCAAGAGCUGUAAUGGCGAAUUCUUUGCUGUGCUGCAAGCACCAGCUAUUUGGUAAGGCACAGCAGUGCGUGCAACCAGAGCAGUGGACUGUAACAGUGAUUUGAUUACCACAAGUUGCUGAAAAGUUCACACACACACACACCAAGUUUAAAAGACAGAUUCAUAAAAAUGCACAGAGAUUGUACCAAUGAAUCAAUCAUCUCUUUACAAGUGCUCGGAAAAACUAUCAUCUGGCAGCUGGCAGUGAAGAACUUCUCUUGAUGUUUGCACUGAAGGAAGGAAAAGAGCAGAAAAGAAUGCGUCUUUUCCUGUGCAGUUAUUACAUGCUACAACCCUGUCAUCCCGCAGACAUAAAGAAGGCGGCUGUACUUACCUCAGAUUCUGCAGCCAGCAAUGUAUAUAGUGAGGGGCACACUUACCGUACAGAAGUCCUAAUGACUGAAGUCUCAGACCUUAUUCCAGCCUCAGAAGCCCAAGAGGCAGAAUCAGGAAACAGAUUUCACGCUUGCUUGCAGGCAACCUCUUAGUAAGGGCUUGAAGAGCAAGACUGAUGGUCUGGAUUUAAGGCAACAAGCUCCAGGAAGUUUUCUAGUCCACACAAGAGUAAAAAUGAAAGCAGAGCAAGUAGGAUAUCACAACAUGCUGUGUUUCUUGACUGUGAGCUCUAAGUGAAGACUGAUGGUAACUGGGAUUUGUAAUCUCUCCCAAAUGAAUGCUCUGGGCAGUAACAUCAAGAGCUCAUAUUCCAGCCUUUCCCAUCUUGUGGGGCAUCUGAGGUCUCUUUCCUCAUUUUGGUCUUUCCCAGAUCUUGCAGACACUAAAUUAUCUUGGAGGCAUUUGCUCCUCUCAGAUUUGACUGAUGGGUUCAAAGUCAUUGGAGAAAAGAGGAGACAGAAUGAGGCACAGCCAGUGUAACAGCUCACUGCUGCUAAGAGAGAUGACCCCAGUUCUGCAUUUCCUUCCUCCCAUGCACCUCAUCACAUCAACCUGCCUACCCUGUGCUCGUCCUGCUUUUCCACAAGGGAAGUGGUCAAACAAGUGCUAUAGCUGGUGGUGGGAAAGUCACAGGAGUAUGUGACCACAGCAGAAGUGAGCAGGAUGCAGAGUGCAGCAUCAAUUCAGCCCAUCUUAUCGAAACACACACUUCAAAUGAAAAUACCAUGGAUGCAGUUGCACAUUACAAGGGAACCGUUACCAGAAACGAGGACCAUCCUGCUCACUGUCCACCCUGUUCCCUGCACUGAGCCAAUCCAACUCACUAAGCCAGCAGAAAGUCAACCAAGUGAAAACAAGCACCCAAAAAAUGUGUUUUCCCUUAGUAAAUUGAACUGGCUACUCACAGGGCACAAAGGCAGCAGAGACACAACCUGCACCCCACAGAAGCAACAAGCUGUGACACUAGCCCAGCCAUAACACACAGCCUUGCACUACAGAAUGACACGGGCUCCUUUUCUGUCACCUGGCGUUCCUGCAAACCAUUCUAAGCAUUGAAAAGCUGCUCAUUAUCAUCCCAGUAUCUGAGCAGCAGUUCCAAGUGGGAGGUUUUCUUUCUUCAAGAGAAGAUUAUACAAGCAACUCUGCAGCGAGCAGCCCACGCCUGGUUACCGUGUUUCCGAGAAGCACGGAGGUCUCUGUCAAUAAUACAACAGAAGCAGCCACUGCAGUUCGACAACACAGGCAGAACUGACACCAACCAGCAGAAGAGCUGGUGAGGCCAAGAAACAGCCCUUAGCAUAACACGGAUGAACACCGCUCUUUUCCAGGUUAAAAACAAAACCAUUUCUGGAUAUCGGCAAACUGACAAUUUUAUUGUUGCCAUGUCAUUUGGAAAAAUUCUCUGCAUAAAAUACAAUACCAAAAGCAAGUACGACAAAAAAGUUCAUGUGAAACUACUAUUUCCUCUUUAAAUAACGACAAACAGAAAACUUUCCAGCUUAUGACAGUUACACAGUAAAACAUCCCUGGCACAAGACGAGACAUGAGAAGUGGGAAGUGGAACAGGCUUACCCAUGAAAACUGACUGUGCUGACAAGAAGCAGGUGGACGGGGAAAUGGUAUGCAAUUGUUUUAGACUUCUGCAUCCUACACGAGGAAAAAUACAUGUGGACAAAAGUAAAUUAGCAUUUUAGUCAUGACUCUUACAAGAGUGACUUACAAACUGCGGAGCAGCAGUUACAGCAGCAGCAUGAACCAGCGGUACACUGAAACCUUCCAAUAGCUUGUGCAGCAACGAGAACAUAAAUUCUCAAAUUCUAUUCUGAGCUGCUUUAAUAAAAUAUAAGUUUACGAACUCAACCUUAUUCAAAGCCUUAUUCAGAAUGUAAACUCUGGAUAAUUUUCAGGGUUUGACUGCUAGUAUCAGGUUUCUAAUUUGUUUAAUCUCAUGAUACUGAACAGUGAUUUUAAAAGAACUGGAGAAUUCUCAUCUUGAUUAUUCCACUGCUGCUGUCUUGAGCUACAGAAUUCACUACCCUUGUUGCCCGAAAAUCAAGAUCUUUUUCAACACAGAAAAUGCAUAGAAAGCAGACCAAUCUUUAGUAAAAUGGCAGCAAUUCAAAUAUCCUUCAAAAUUACCUUUACCUUGAUGCAGCCAAAUGCAUGUGUCCUCAACUAAGUAUUCAGUACAGACCUCAAUAGUUGAGAACUCACCACAAAUUCCUCAAGCAGCUAUAUGAAAAUAGAGCAAGCCAGCAAUCUAAAACUAGAUAAGGCCUUAAUCUAUCUACAGAAAUACAAUAAUGAUUCUAAUUUUUAUAAAAAAUAUUAAUUCCACCAAAGGACGGUAAAUGCCUGUGGAGUAAAAACCCACAUGCAAGCUGCCUCAAGUGAUCAAAGAUGCUCGGAACAGAUUUGCCGUUUUUGGCUGAUCUUGCUUCUCUCAUCACAAGAUUCUAGUUUUGAAGUCAUGUUACAUGAACUCCUUCAAGACAUCUUCCAAGGCACAGGUCAGAGACUUAUUUUCUUUUCAACAUGCCAAGAACACGUCUUGAACACUGGCUGAUCCCCAACAACACCCUAAGGAUAAAACUGGAUUCCCCAUUUUAGCACUCUAACUUAAGAUGUCUUAGGCAGUAUUAAUGCCAGGGAGGAGGUCUAAUACAAUU